rnacentral:rRNA from 1 species
GAUGAACGCUAGCGGCAGGCCUAAUACAUGCAAGCUGAACGGUAAAUAGUGUAGCAAUACAUUAUGAGAGUAGCGUAAGGGUGCGUAACACGUAUGCAAUCUGCCCUGUACAGAAGGAUAGCUCGGCGAAAGCCGGAUUAAUACUCCGUAAUAUUAUUGUGUGGCAUCACAUGAUAAUUAAAGUCGCAAGACGGUAUGGGAUGAGCAUGCGUCUGAUUAGCUAGUUGGUAGUGUAACGGACUACCAAGGCGAUGAUCAGUAGGGGAACUGAGAGGUUGAUCCCCCACACUGGCACUGAGAUACGGGCCAGACUCCUACGGGAGCAGCAGUAGGGAAUAUUGGUCAAUGGAUGCAAGUCUGAACCAGCCAUGCCGCGUGCAGGAAGAAGGCCUUCUGGGUUGUAAACUGCUUUUGCCGGGGGAUAAAAAGUCCAUGCGUGGAUUAUUGAAGGUACCGGUGAAUAAGCCACGGA